rnacentral:rRNA from 1 species
AGGGUUUGAUCAUGGCUCAGAACGUACGCUGGCGGCACGCCUAACACAUGCAAGUCGAGCGAGGUAGCAAUACCUAGCGGCAGACGGGUGCGUAACAUGUGGGAAUCUGCCUUUUGGUUCGGAAUAACACGGGGAAACCUGUGCUAAUACCGGAUAAGUCCUUACGGGGAAAGUUUUAAUGCCAAAAGAUGAGCCCGCACUUGAUUAGCUAGUUGGUAAGGUAAUGGCUUACCAAGGCAACGAUCAAUAGCUGUUCUUAGAGGAAGACCAGCCACAUUGGGACUGAGACACGGCCCAAACUCCUACGGGAGGCAGCAGUGGGGAAUCUUGCACAAUGGGGGAAACCCUGAUGCAGCGAUGCCGCGUGAGUGAAGAAGGCCCUUGGGUUGUAAAACUCUUUCGUCGGGGAAGAAAAUGACUGUACCCGAAUAAGAAGGUCCGGCUAACUUCGUGCCAGCAGCCGCGGUAAUACGAAGGGACCUAGCGUAGUUCGGAAUUACUGGGCUUAAAGAGUUCGUAGGUGGUUAAAAAAGUUGAUGGUGAAAUCCCAAGGCUCAACCUUGGAACUGCCAUCAAAACUUUUCAGCUAGAGUAUGAUAGAGGAAAGCAGAAUUUCUAGUGUAGAGGUGAAAUUCGUAGAUAUUAGAAAGAAUACCAAUUGCGAAGGCAGCUUUCUGGAUCAUUACUGACACUGAGGAACGAAAGCAUGGGUAGCGAAGAGGAUUAGAUACCCUCGUAGUCCAUGCCGUAAACGAUGUGUGUUAGACGUUGGAAAUUUAUUUUCAGUGUCGCAGCGAAAGCGAUAAACACACCGCCUGGGGAGUACGACCGCAAGGUUAAAACUCAAAUGAAUUGACGGGGACCCGCACAAGUAGUGGAGCAUGUGGUUUAAUUCGAAGAUACGCGCAGAACCUUACCAACACUUGACAUGUUCGUCGCGACUCUAAGAGAUUAGAGUUUUCGGUUCGGCCGGACGAAACACAGGUGCUGCAUGGCUGUCGUCAGCUCGUGUCGUGAGAUGUUGGGUUAAGUCCCGCAACGAGCGCAACCCUCACUUUUAGUUGCCAUCAUUAAGUUGGGCACUCUGAAAGAACUGCCAGUGAUAAGCUGGAGGAAGGUGGGGAUGACGUCAAGUCCUCAUGGCCCUUACGUGUUGGGCUACACACGUGCUACAAUGGUAUCUACAACAGGAAGCAAGACUGCGAAGUUAAGCAAAUCCCUAAAAGAUACCUCAGUUCGGAUUGCACUCUGCAACUCGAGUGCAUGAAGCUGGAAUUACUAGUAAUCGUGGAUCAGCGUGCCACGGUGAAUGCGUUCCCGGGUCUUGUACACACCGCCCGUCACACCAUGGGAGUUGGUUCUACCUUAAGGCAAGGUUUCAAACCCUUGACCACGGUA